AAAAGCGUGGCCGGGGCGGGCGUGGUCCUCUUUCCCAGAGCUCGGACGUUACGGCUCGCAGCCAACAUGCCGGUGGCCCGGAGCUGGGUUUGUCGCAAGACCUACGUGACCCCUCGGAGGCCCUUCGAGAAGUCGCGGCUCGACCAAGAGCUGAAGCUGAUCGGCGAAUAUGGGCUCCGGAACAAACGUGAGGUGUGGAGGGUCAAGUUCACCUUGGCCAAGAUCCGCAAGGCAGCACGGGAGCUGCUGACGCUGGACGAGAAGGACCCGCGGCGCCUGUUUGAGGGCAAUGCCUUGCUCCGGCGACUGGUGCGCAUUGGAGUGCUGGACGAGGGCAAGAUGAAGCUGGAUUAUAUCCUGGGUCUGAAGAUUGAGGAUUUCUUGGAGAGGCGUCUGCAGACCCAGGUCUUCAAGCUGGGCUUGGCCAAGUCCAUCCACCAUGCCCGUGUGCUGAUCCGCCAACGCCACAUCAGUUUGCUGUCCUUACCUCCUAUGCAGCCCUCAGAGGUGACAAAAGGUGUGACUACACCUUGAGGGUAAGAUUGGCGCCUGCAGACAGCUCAUAGGGUGCUGGGGACAGCCUCAUCCCCCACCUUGUAGCCCAGCGCAAGGGUCACUGCGGCCUGAGCCGUACACCUUGCGAAGGCUUCUUCAGGCAGCUGGACAGGGUCCGAAAGCAAGUGGUGAACAUCCCAUCCUUUAUCGUCCGCCUGGAUUCCCAGAAGCAUAUUGACUUCUCCUUGCGCUCUCCGUAUGGGGGUGGCCGCCCAGGGCGUGUG